UACGUAGGGUGCGAGCGUUAAUCGGAAUUACUGGGCGUAAAGCGUGCGCAGGCGGUUCGUUAUGUCCGAUGUGAAAGCCCCGAGCUCAACUUGGGAAUGGCAUUGGAAACUGGCGGGCUGGAGUGUGGCAGAGGGGGUGGAAUUCCCAGUGUAGCGGUGAAAUGCGCAGAUAUCAGGAGGAACACCAAUGGCGAAGGCAGCUCGCUGGGACGGUACUGACGCUGAGGCGCGAAAGCGUGGGAGCAAACAGG
rnacentral:rRNA from 1 species